AAUCAACGCUGGCGGCGCGCUUAACACAUGCAAGUCGAACGAGAAAGGGGAGCAAUCUCUGAGUACAGUGGCGUACGGGUGAGUAACACGUGGGUAAUUUUACCUCUGAGUGGGGGGAUAUCUCUGGGAAACCGGAGUUAAUAACCGCAUAAGUUCGGGAGAAGAAAGCGAGCGAAAUCGCGCUGAGAGAGGAGCCCGCGGCCGAUUAGCUAGUUGGUGAGGUAACGGCUCACCAAGGCCGAGAUCGGUAGCCGGCCUGAGAGGGCACACGGCCACACUGGCACUGCAACACGGGCCAGACUCCUACGGGAGGCAGCA
rnacentral:rRNA from 1 species